GUCUCUUCUUAGCCUUUUGGCUAAGAUCAAGUGUAGUGUCUCUUCUUAUCAGUGUAAUAGCUGAUGCAUCCUCUAUCUAAGGACAAUAGAAGAUACUUAAUAAAAGCUUGUUGAUAGACGCAUUCAUAUCAGAAGACUCUGCCUUUUGGUAGAGCUGUGUGUCAGGGUAUUACCUGGGUCAUCCUCAACCUCCCCCCGAUUCCUUCCUAA
rnacentral:snRNA from 1 species